GAUGAACGCUGGCGGGUUGCCUAAUAAAUGCAAUUCGAGCGAACAGACGAGGAGCUUGCUCCUCUGACGUUAGCGGCGGACGGGUGAGUACCACGUGGAUAACCUACCUAUAAAACUGGGAUAACUUCGGGAAACCGGAGCUAAUACCGGAUAAUAUAUUGAACCGCAUGGUUCAAUAGUGAAAGACGGUUUUGCUGUCACUUAUAGAUGGAUCCGCGCCGCAUUAGCUAGUUGGUAAGGUAACGGCUUACCAAGGCAACGAUGCGUAGCCGACCUGAGAGGGUGAUCGGCCACACUGGAACUGAGACACGGUCCAGACUCCUACGGGAGGCAGCAGUAGGGAAUCUUCCGCAAUGGGCGAAAGCCUGACGGAGCAACGCCGCGUGAGUGAUGAAGGUCUUCGGAUCGUAAAACUCUGUUAUUAGGGAAGAACAAAUGUGUAAGUAACUAUGCACGUCUUGACGGUACCUAAUCAGAAAGCCACGGCUAACUACGUG
rnacentral:rRNA from 1 species